UACGGGAGGCAGCAGUGGGGAAUAUUGCACAAUGGGCGCAAGCCUGAUGCAGCCAUGCCGCGUGUAUGAAAAAGGCCUUCGGGUUGUAAAGUACUUUCAGUCGUGAGGAAGGUGUUAAGGUUAAUAACCUUAGCAAUUGACGUUAGCGACAGAAGAAGCACCGGCUAACUCCGUGCCAGCAGCCGCGGUAAUACGGAGGGUGCGAGCGUUAAUCGGAAUUACUGGGCGUAAAGGGCACGCAGGCGGUUAAUUAAGUUGGAUGUGAAAUCCCCGGGCUUAACCUGGGAAUGGCAUUCAAGCUGGUUAGCUAGAGUCUUGUAGAGGGGGUAGAAUUCCAUGUGUAGCGGUGAAAUGCGUAGAGAUGUGGAGGAAUACCGGUGGCGAAGGCGGCCCCUGGACAAAGGACUGACGCUCAUGUGCGAAAGCGUGGGGAGCGAAACAGGGAUUAGAUACC
rnacentral:rRNA from 1 species